rnacentral:rRNA from 1 species
AGAUUGAACGCUGGCGGCAUGCCUAACACAUGCAGGUCGAACGGGAGUAGCAUAAAAAACUCUAGUGGCGGACGGGUCGAGGAAUACGUAGGAAUUUGCCCUUAAGUGGGGGAUAACCCGGGGAAACCCGGAUUAAUACCGUAUGACCUCGAAAGAGCAAAGUGGGGGAUCGCAAGACCUCACGCUUUUGGAGAAGCCUACGUCGGAUUAGCGAGUUGGUGAGGUAAUGGCUCACCAAGGCGACGAUCCGUAACUGGUCUGAGAGGAUGAUCAGUCACACCGGAACUGAGACACGGUCCGGACUCCUACGGGAGGCAGCAGUGAGGAAUAUUGGACAAUGGGCGCAAGCCUGAUCCAGCAAUGCCGCGUGUGUGAAGAAGGCCUUACGGUUCGUAAAGUCACUUUAAGUUAGGGAAAGAAAAACUCGACUACUAACGACAGUAGAGUCGUUGACGGUACGACAGAAUAAGCACCGGCUAACUCGUAGUCG